rnacentral:ncRNA from 1 species
UAAUAGGUAGCGCCGGCUACUUAUUAGCAAAAGUGUGGAUUCACAAUUCGUAGGCCUUAGAUAGAAUUGUUGAUUGACGCUUUUUUUA